CUAAACACAACUCUCACCUAAGUGAUAGAGCCUGGAUAGUUACAGUAUGGACAGAGAAGGAGUGCCUUGUUACCCCAGGAUGGGUGGCUGCAGUUGUACUCGUCUCUGCCUGGGGGAGGCUGCCUACUGGCUUUGAUUAUAGGAGCCAACACUGGGGAUCUGGGCCAAGUUCCACUCUCGCAUGUUCACCUGGGAUCUCCCAAAUAUGCAAUCUCACUUCUAAGAAUCUGUCUUAUAAGAAUAAAAACACCAGGACAUAAUGAUAUUUUCAAAAGGAUAUUAUUUUACCAUGUUUCAG
rnacentral:lncRNA from 10 species